rnacentral:rRNA from 1 species
GACGAACGCUGGCGGCGUGCCUAAUACAUGCAAGUAGAACGCUGAAGGAGGAGCUUGCUUCUCUGGAUGAGUUGCGAACGGGUGAGUAACGCGUAGGUAACCUGCCUGGUAGUGGGGGAUAACUAUUGGAAACGAUAGCUAAUACCGCAUAAUAGCAGUUGUUGCAUGAUAACUGUUUGAAAGGUGCAAUUGCACCGCUACCAGAUGGACCUGCGUUGUAUUAGCUAGUUGGUGGGGUAACGGCUCACCAAGGCGACGAUACAUAGCCGACCUGAGAGGGUGAACGGCCACACUGGGACUGGGACACGGCCCAGACUCCUACGGGAGGCAGCAGUAGGGGAACUUCGGCAAUGGACGGAAGUCUGACCGAGCAACGCCGCGUGGGUGGAGAAGGUUGUCGGAUCGGAAAGCUCUGUUGUAAGGGAAGAACGAGUGUGAGAGUGGAAAGUUCACACUGUGACGGUAUCUAACCAGAAAGGGACGGCUAACUACGUG